rnacentral:tRNA from 1 species
UUCCUAUAGUUAAAUAAUAACGAUGGUUUUUCAGGCCAUAGUUCUUGAAUGGGCUCAAGUAGGAACUA